rnacentral:rRNA from 1 species
CCUACGGGACGCAGCAGUGGGGAAUAUUGGGCAAUGGAGGCAACUCUUACCCAGCAAUGCCGCGUGAAUGAAGAAGGUCUUCGGAUUGUAAAGUUCUUUAAUUGGGGACGAAAAAAAUGACGGUACCCAAGGAAUAAGCCCCGGCUAACUACGUGCCAGCAGCCGCGGUAAUACGUAGGGGGCAAGCGUUAUCCGGAUUUACUGGGUGUAAAGGGAGCGUAGACGGCAGAGCAAGUCUGAAGUGAAAGCCCGCGGCCCAACUGCGGGACUGCUUUGGAAACUGCCCGGCUAGAGUGCUGGAGAGG